GUUUUUGGCUCAGUCGGUAAGAUGAGUGGCUGGUAACCAAUAGGUCCGGGGUUCGACCCCCGGUGGUGGAAAACU